AUAAAUAAGCGGAGGAAAAGAAACCAAACGGGAUUCCCUUAGUAACGGCGAGCGAAAAGGGAAAUGUCCAGCACCAAGUCUUGACAUCUACGGUGUUCAAGAGAUGCGGUGUUAAUGUAUCGACCCAUCGUGCACUGUUCUACAUUUCAAGUUCCUACGACCGGGACUUCCGGAGCGGGUGUAAGACCCAUAGAGAUGAGGAACCAGUGUAUGCUGAGCGAUGUAUUCUAGAGUCAGGUUGCUUGAGAGUGCAGCUUAAAGACGGUGGUAAACUCCAUCCAAGACUAAAUAUUACAGCGAGACCGAUAGCAAACAAGUACCGUGAGGGAAAGUUGCAAAGCACUUUGAAGAGAGAGUUCAAAAGUACGUGAAACCACUGGGAGGCAAACAGAUGGAACCACGAAGUGUGCGCCUCGGUCGAUUCAAUCAUCACUACUUGUCAGUUUUUGGGAGUUAGUAUCUUUUCGGAGAUUGAUUUCCAAAGACUAUGAUGGGUGGUGUUGGUGCAUUUCGUGCCGGGGAUGCAAAGCCACGUUCAACUAGAGUUGGGACGGCUGUAAGAAAGAAUCCGAGAAAGGUGCCCGUCACGUGCUUGCAUUUGACGGCGUUAUAGUCUUGGAUUGGCACCGUCGCCAAACAUACUGGUUGAUACAAAUUCUCCAAUUGGAGUGGAACCAUGUCUGCCUGUGGCUGUUAGUCGAUGUUGCGUAAUGUUCUUUGCGUAUCUUUCGAUGCGAAAAGACUUUGCAAAGAUGUCGGCUAAUGGUUGCUUGCGUGACAUGGUGGAACUGUGGCGUGAGUAGGUCGGUCUCCAUCUGACCCGUCUUGAAACACGGACCAAGGAGCCUAUCAUAUACGCGAGUCGCUCGGUCUUGUUUAGGCCUGGGAGGCGUAAUGAAAGUAAAGUUACGAUACUGUAACAGGUUGCAGUAACGGCUCGCCCACUUUGUUUAUUGGCAAUAUGGCGAAGCUGGAGCGUAUACGAUGGUACCCGAAAGAUGGUGAACUAUGCCUGGGCAAGACGAAGCCAGAGGAAACUCUGGUGGAGGUCUGUAGCGAUUCUGACGUGCAAAUCGAUCGUCAGACCUGGGUAUAGGGGCGAAAGACUAAUCGAACCAUCUAGUAGCUGGUUCCCUCCGAAGUUUCCCUCAGGAUAGCAGGCGUUUAUAUUUUGCAGUCUCAUCCGGUAAAGCUAAUGAUUAGAGGUCUUGGGGUUGAAACGACCUCAACCUAUUCUCAAACUUUAAAUGGGUGAGAUGGUUGACUUUCUUGAUUGAAGCCAACCAUUUGGAUGCAAAUGCCUAGUGGGCCAUUUUUGGUAAGCAGAACUGGCGCUGUGGGAUGAACCAAACGUCGAGAUAAGGCAUCAAAUGCGUACGCUCAUCAGACCCCAUGAAAGGUGUUGGUUGCUAUAGACAGCAGGACGGUGGCCAUGGAAGUCGGAAUCCGCUAAGGAGUGUGUAACAACUCACCUGCCGAAGCAACUAGCCCUGAAAAUGGACGAUGCUGUAGCGUGGAGCCGAUACUCGACCGUUAUGACGAUUUUUUUUGUAGAAUGCGAUGUCAUAACGAGUAGGAGGGCCGCAGUGUUAGCGUUGAAGGUGUCCGGCGUGAGCCGGCCUGGAGCUAUCAUUGUU
rnacentral:rRNA from 2 species